rnacentral:rRNA from 1 species
AAUGAACGUGGCGGCGUGGAUUAGGCAUGCAAGUCGAGCGGGAGUAGCAAUACUCAGCGGCGUAAGGGACAGUAACACGUAGAUUACCUACCCUCCGAUCCGGGAUAGCUGCGGGAAACUGCAGGUAAUACCGGAUAAUGUCUCCGGACCAAAGGUGUGAUUCCGUCGGAGGAUGGGUCUGCGUCCUAUUAGCUAGUUGGUAGGGUAACGGCCUACCAAGGUAAUGAUGGGUAGUGGGUGUGAGAGCACGACCCGCGUCACUGGGACUGAGACACUGCCCAGACACCUACGGGUGGCUGCAGUCGAGGAUCUUCGGCAAUGGGCGCAAGCCUGACCGAGCGACGCCGCGUGCGGGAUGAAGGCCUUCGGGUUGUAAACCGCUGUCAGUGGGGAGGAAAUGUACGUGGGUUCUCCCACGUAUUUGACCUAUCCGCAGAGGAAGUGUGGGCUAAGUUCGUGCCAGCAGCCGCGGUAAGACGAACCACACAAACGUUAUUCGGAAUUACUGGGCUUAAAGGGUGCGUAGGCUGCGCGGAAAGUUGGGUGUGAAAUCCCUCGGCUCAACCGAGGAACUGCGCUCAAUACUGCCG